UCAAACUUGGUCAUUUAGAGGAAGUAAAAGUCGUAACAAGGUUUCCGUAGGUGAACCUGCGGAAGGAUCAUUACAAAUCGUUGGGAGAGGAGGUGGGACUUGGGGCAGCCUCUGUUAGGGGGCAGCCUCUGUUAGGGGUGACCUCUGCCAGCCUCUCUCUCCACAUGUGUGCGGGGUCGCAAGACCCUGUGACAUUUGCGCUUGUCCUGUUUGUCAGAGUAGCGAUCAUCUCAAUGUGACAACUUUUAACAAUGGAUCUCUUGGCUCUUGCAUCGAUGAAGAACGCAGC
rnacentral:misc_RNA from 1 species